rnacentral:rRNA from 1 species
UACGAAGGGGGCUAGCGUUGUUCGGAUUAACUGGGCGUAAAGGGUGCGUAGGCGGGUUUUUAAGUCAGGGGUGAAAUCCCGAGGCUCAACCUCGGAACUGCCUUUGAUACUGGAAAUCUUGAGUCUGGGAGAGGUGAGUGGAACUGCGAGUGUAGAGGUGAAAUGCGCAGAUAUCAGGAGGAACACCAAUGGCGAAGGCAGCUCGCUGGGACGGUACUGACGCUGAGGCGCGAAAGCGUGGGGAGCAAACAGG